UGGAGAUCACAUCGCCGGGGGUUCGAGACCGCAGUGCGGUCAGCCUCAUCAGUCCACUCUGAAUGACUGUUCGUCAGAGCUCUGGCUCUCUAAACCGCUGUGAUACUCAAUAUUUAAACACCAGCAGCUGGGUGGUCACGUCCAUUGUGUAGAAUCGUAUUCUGUGCAACAUUCUAGCAAUUAGAAUCAGCCUAAGCAUUACGGCACAGAUAGAGAACACGGGGGCUAACACCUUCAACAUAGCAUCUAACACCAAUUGUUACAGUUAACCUGAAAUGUAACUUUUUAAAAAAUGUUUUGUGAUUUACACAUGAAAGAGGUGAAAUUAACAUGGUCAUUCUAAUAGAUGAAAGACUCAACAAACAAUCGAAGUAUUUUUCAAUGUAUAAUUUCAGUUACAUCACACUGUAAACGUUUGCUAUAAAUUCUGUGUCUUCAAUAGUGUCCUCCACAACCCCCUGAUGA